rnacentral:misc_RNA from 1 species
CUCGAAGGUUGACGAAAUUCGCCGAAGUAUUCUCAGUCCUAGGUCGCCAUUUCCCUCGGGGAGUCAUCGGUAAAUCGUGUUUUUUUUUAUAUAUUAUUCCGAUUAAAGUGUAUUUUUUUCGGUCAGUAGCACCGCCGAAAAUUUCGUUUACACAAAACCCGGUGGUUCGACCUCAAAUGGCUUGCUUGAACACCCUCAAGCAGGAGAUAAAAACUCUCGAGUCUGUCUUCCCAAAGAGCCAUGAGAGGUUUCAGAUAAUGUCCGCGAGUGUGGACGAGCUCAGUUGCAGAUUCGUCGGUAAAAAUGGAAAAAAGUACGAAAUUCACGCCAAUAUUACAGAAACUUAUCCUUCCACUCCACCCGUUUGGUUCGCCGAAUCUGAAGAAACGAGUGUUACGAAUGCCGUACAAAUUCUGAGUAACACAACCGGGCGUGACAAUCAUGUCAUAAAUCAAGUUGGCAUACUCCUCAAAGAGUUGUGCCGUCUUCAUUCCCUACCGGAACCACCGGACGUUGAGUUACUUAGAACAGCAUUGGAUCCCCUUCGUCUCGGCGGAGCAACUGCUACGGUAGCACAGAGAAUGGAAGCCGAGGACACGGAGGAUCUUGAUGACGACGAGGAGAGCGAGACUGAAGAAGACCUUCAUUUGGAUAUGGAUGAGGGUGAAGCCAAUGCCAAGAGUAAGGCUGACGAAAUGGAUUUGGAGCACCUAGCGACGUUGGAAAGGCUGAGACAAAACCAGAGACAGGAUUAUCUUCGAGGUUCGGUGUCGGGAAGUGUGCAAGCAACCGACAGGCUUAUGAAGGAAUUACGUGACAUCUACAGAAGCGAUAGCUUUAAAAAAGGAAUGUAUAGCAUAGAGCUAGUGAACGACAGUUUAUACGAGUGGAAUAUCAGGUUAAUGUGCGUCGAUCCGGAUUCGCCUCUCCACAAAGACCUUGUUCUUCUAAAAGAGAAGGAAGGCAAAGACAGUAUUCUUCUUAACAUGAUGUUUAAGGAGACAUAUCCAUAUGAACCGCCUUUCGUUCGAGUGGUUCACCCUAUAAUAUCCGGUGGCUACGUCCUUGUCGGCGGUGCAAUUUGUAUGGAGUUGCUUACGAAACAAGGCUGGAGUUCGGCGUACACCGUCGAAGCGGUUAUAAUGCAGAUAUCGGCGACUCUCGUAAAGGGAAAGGCGCGUAUACAGUUCCAGGGAGCGGCAGGAGCUGGAAAAGUUUGCGGUGGACAAAGCCAAUACAGUCUCGCGCGCGCACAACAGUCAUUCAAAUCUCUAGUUCAAAUACACGAGAAGAAUGGUUGGUUCACACCACCGAAGGAGGAUGGCUAAUGAAAAUGGAGUUUUGAGUAAGGAAAAGAGAAAAAAGAUAUGACGCGUGCUUACAGCUGAGACUUUAAUACGUCUACAUCGAGAACGACGACGAAGAAGGACCACGAGAUCAUUACAGAAUUACGACUCUCAUCACUUCUCAAUUGCAUCUUCCGGUGCUUCGUCGAAAUUGGACCGAGGCGGGAGGAGGGAGGGAAGGAAGGGGGCGGUCACUUCCUCAACGUAAUAGAUAUUGUAAUUGUAAAUUUCACUUAUUUUUUUCACUUGUUACAUUGCCUCAAUACGCGUGCUCGUAUUUGUUGAGAAAUAACACGGACCGGUAGUAGGUCUUAGAAAUAGGGUGAAGAAAUGAAGUAACUUGAUCGACGCGACACUGUAUGUUUCCGUGAUUGUAUAAAUAGAUUUUAGGAACACACGA